UUAAUUUGAGAGUUUGAUCCUGGCUCAGGACGAACGCUGGCGGCGUGCCUAAUACAUGCAAGUCGAACGAACUCUGGUAUUGAUUGGUGCUUGCAUCAUGAUUUACAUUUGAGUGAGUGGCGAACUGGUGAGUAACACGUGGGAAACCUGCCCAGAAGCGGGGGAUAACACCUGGAAACAGAUGCUAAUACCGCAUAA
rnacentral:rRNA from 1 species